UUGACCACAAGAACACAACCCUCACACCACUUUUCUUUUAAUCCCCCGUCGUUUUGGUUCCCUUUCUACAUAUUCCCUUACACAGACCACUACCGCUGCCAUCCCCACCACCAUUGCGCCAUAGACCAACCGCGAUUCCAAACUAUCGGUAUCUACUUUGUUUCCUUGGGUUACGAACUCAGUUCUUGGUCUUCUGCGAAACUCCCCCCGGCAAUCAUAUUCCUUCCCCAUAUUGCAGGGCGCUCAUUCGCAGCCAUGUCUCUUUGUGUAAAUCGUCUAACUGAGGAACGAAAGCAAUGGCGGAAAAACCACCCCUACGGCUUCUAUGCAAAACCACGUAGAAAUGCAGCGGGCGCGCAGGACAUGAAGUACUGGGAGUGUGGCAUUCCUGGUAAAGAGAAAAAAACAAAAACAAAAACUAACUUAUCGCAGGCAAAUUUGUUCCCCCACUCUUCCACCCAAACGUCUACCCCUCCGGCACCGUCUGCCUAUCCAUCCUCAAUGAAGAGGAAGGCUGGAGACCAGCGAUUACCAUUCCACAGAUCCUUCUCGGUAUCCAAGCCCUUUUAGACGAUCCUAAUCCGGAUUCGCCUGCCCAAGCUGAAGCAUAUACCCUAUUCAAGAAAGACCGUGCUGCUUACGAAAAGAAAGUGAGGCAAGUCGUUAGGGAAAACCCGGCUUUGUAACAUUUGUGAAUGUGGUGGCGAUGCCGCGACAGCAGUCCCCCGGGUGCUCGCCGAAGGCACUUCUCUUGAUUUAUAGCAAGGCGUCUUGGUUGUUAUUUUAUUUUACAUUGGCAAUCUUUCGUGUCAACUUAUUUUGAUUUCUUCGAUAUUUAUUUGUUGUUGUUGUUUUUUAAAUCCCCAACACUGCGUUUCCCUUUUGCAUGGCUUGUUCGAGACUGCACGAUAAAUGGUGUUCGAUGGAUAACAAUGACCUACCCUUACGGAGCUAGAUUUGGAGAGACAGAUAGAAUUAACUGAGAGCUCCAACUCAAUUCGUUUUUACACCAAACAAGGCGUCAUAAACCUGCGCGCACGUUGUAGCUAACCGUUUUUGGGCUUCUAACCCUUCUGUACCAUAAUCUAAGUAGUAACGGCCCAUAGUUGGCGCUUACAAUGAACCAGGUGGAGCUUUGUUUACAAAAUGGAAUAACACCUGUUGGUUCAAGGUUGGGGGUCGGGAUAAUGGUUAUGGGUUAACCCAGCCUAGAUAAACAAGGGUGAAGAUAAGAAGGGAUUGAUACUGUUAGCGGAUCGGUGGAGGACUGAGUAUGGAGUAUGGGAUGCAGACAAACAUACGCCCAUACGGACAAUAACGGAU
rnacentral:sRNA from 1 species